rnacentral:RNase_P_RNA from 1 species
UAAGUAAGUCGGAUAGUCGCUCUGGGAAAUAUCGAUAUUUCGAAAUUUUCUGGAGAGGAAAGUCCGAACACUCGGAAUUUUGAUCGCUUGCAAUUGCACGAUUAAGAUUCAAGGGUAGCGGGUAACGCCCGUCUGGGGAAACCCACGAGAUGCGAACAGAGACGCCGAGAUUCGAAAGAAUCGAGGCGCCCUUCGAAGCCCGCAAGGGCGGAGUAGGGCGAGCGUGGCUAUAAGACAGAAAUCCUCCUUUAGCGUAAAGCUGCGGAGGAUCUCCGCCGAAGGCUCCGAUGAAACGGCUAAACUCUUACUCGAGUGCAAGCCCAAAUUUGGUAGGGCGCACGACCCCGAUCGCAAGGUCGGGGCUAGAUAGAUGACUAUACAAAUACAGAAUUCGGCUUAUAGGCUUACUUAGGGU